UACGAAGGGGGCGAGCGUUGUUCGGAAUUACUGGGCGUAAAGGGCGCUUAGGCGGCGACUCAAGUUAAAUGUGAAAGUCCUGGGCUUAACCUGGGGACUGCAUUUGAUACUGGGUUGCUUGAAUUCGGGAGAGGAUAGCGGAAUUCCCAGUGUAGAGGUGAAAUUCGUAGAUAUUGGGAAGAACACCGGUGGCGAAGGCGGCUAUCUGGACCGACAUUGACGCUGGGGCGCGAAAGCGUGGGGAGCAAACAGG
rnacentral:rRNA from 1 species